ACUCUCCCCGGGCUCUGUCCUAGUGGCGUACGGGAGCAUAGGGCACUGCCCAAUGAUGUACAGUCCCUUUCCACAACGUUGGAGAUGAAGCUGGGCUUCGAGUCUGCGCCUGCAUAUUCCUACGACUUCUCAGAGUCCUGUGGACCAUGACUGAGGAGAC
rnacentral:snoRNA from 1 species